UAGGCCUACGGGGGGCAGCAGUGGGGAAUAUUGCACAAUGGGGGAAACCCUGAACCAGCCAAGUCGCGUGAGGGAAUAAGGCCCUACGGGUCGUAAACCUCUUUUGCCGGGGAGCAAGGGCGGGGACGUGUCCCGGCCCGGAGAGUACCCGGAGAAAAAGCAUCGGCUAACUCCGUGCCAGCAGCCGCGGUAAUACGGAGGAUGCGAGCGUUAUCCGGAUUUAUUGGGUUUAAAGGGUGCGUAGGCGGGCUUUUAAGUCAGCGGUAAAAAUUCGGGGCUCAACCCCGUCCGGUCGUUGAAACUGG
rnacentral:rRNA from 1 species